GGACUCCUGGCCCAAUGGCAAGGCGCUUGACUUCGAAUCAAGAGAUUGUCGGUUCGUUCAACCUGCCCCCGUCUU